UACGAAGGUCCCUAGCGUUGUUCGGAAUCAUUGGGCGUAAAGCGUGCGUAGGUGGCUUUAUAAGUCAGGUGUGAAAGCCCGGGGCUCAACCCCGGAAGUGCACUUGAAACUGCAAAGCUUGAGUACGGUAGAGGUGAGUGGAAUUCCUGGUGUAGUGGUGAAAUACGUAGAUAUCAGGAGGAACAUCGGUGGCGAAGGCGGCUCACUGGACCAGUACUGACACUGAGGCACGAAAGCAUGGGGAUCAAACAGG
rnacentral:rRNA from 1 species